rnacentral:sRNA from 1 species
AUAUAAUUAGUUCUGGAUUAUGUAAGAUUCAUAUAUCACCGUGCCUCUUGUUUUACGUAUAUAUCUUUGAUUCCUUAAACUUAAU